AACGAACGCUGGCGGCAGGCUUAACACAUGCAAGUCGAGCGCCCCGCAAGGGGAGCGGCAGACGGGUGAGUAACGCGUGGGAAUCUACCCAUCUCUACGGAAUAACCCAGGGAAACUUGG
rnacentral:rRNA from 1 species